UAGAGUUUGAUCCUGGCUCAGAUUGAACGCUGGCGGCAGGCUUAACACAUGCAAGUCGAGCGGUAGCACAGGGGAGCUUGCUCCCCGGGUGACGAGCGGCGGACGGGUGAGUAAUGUCUGGGAAACUGCCUGAUGGAGGGGGAUAACUACUGGAAACGGUAGCUAAUACCGCAUAACGUCGCAAGACCAAAGAGGGGGACCUUCGGGCCUCUUGCCAUCAGAUGUGCCCAGAUGGGAUUAGCUAGUAGGUGGGGUAAUGGCUCACCUAGGCGACGAUCCCUAGCUGGUCUGAGAGGAUGACCAGCCACACUGGAACUGAGACACGGUCCAGACUCCUACGGGAGGCAGCAGUGGGGAAUAUUGCACAAUGGGCGCAAGCCUGAUGCAGCCAUGCCGCGUGUGUGAAGAAGGCCUUCGGGUUGUAAAGCACUUUCAGCGAGGAGGAAGGUGGUGAACUUAAUACGUUCAUCAAUUGACGUUACUCGCAGAAGAAGCACCGGCUAACUCCGUGCCAGCAGCCGCGGUAAUACGGAGGGUGCAAGCGUUAAUCGGAAUUACUGGGCAUAAAGCGCACGCAGGCGGUUUGUUAAUCAAUGUGAAAUCCCCGGGCUCACCUGGAACUGCAUUUGAACUGGCAGCUAAAUCUCGUAAGGGGGUAAAU
rnacentral:rRNA from 1 species